GAGCACUUGAUUCUUGCCUGAGCACCAUUUGUCGGGUGUGGUUGGAACCUGCAUCGAUUUACAGAACUCUUUUGUUUAAUAUCCCCCCUUCUACCCUGCGCAUUGCUUUGCGCACAGCAGGCGGUGGCAGGAUAUGUGUGGCUAUACAUCCCGUAGAAAAAGCAUGCCGUGCGCUGGCGAAAUGUAUGUUGAAAAACGUACAUAGGGGCAGCAGAUUGGACACAUAUACACAUCAGUAGAUUCUACCUAUGUAUGCUAUGAAGGAAAGGACAAGUAAACCAAGCGCUUGAUGUACUGUACCUUACUUAGUACACACAUAGCCCACC
rnacentral:sRNA from 1 species